rnacentral:rRNA from 1 species
AUUGAACGCUGGCGGCAGGCCUAACACAUGCAAGUCGAGCGGACGAAGGGAGCUUGCUCCUGGAUUCAGCGGCGGACGGGUGAGUAAUGCCUAGGAAUCUGCCUGGUAGUGGGGGAUAACGUCCGGAAACGGGCGCUAAUACCGCAUACGUCCUGAGGGAGAAAGUGGGGGAGCUUCGGACCUCACGCUAUCAGAUGAGCCUAGGUCGGAUUAGCUAGUUGGUGGGGUAAAGGCCUACCAAGGCGACGAUCCGUAACUGGUCUGAGAGGAUGAUCAGGCACCCUGGCACUGAGACACGGUCCCGACUCCUACGGGAGGCAGCAGUGGGGAAUAUUGGACAAUGGGCGAAAGCCUGAUCCAGCCAUGCCGCGUGUGUGAAGAAGGUCUUCGGAUUGUAAAGCACUUUAAGUUGGGAGGAAGGGCAGUAAGUUAAUACCUUGCUGUUUUGACGUUACCAACAGAAUAAGCACCGGCUAACUUCGUG